AGGUGAGAUAUCUAUUGUAAUACAAUAAGAAAUAAUUUAUAUGAUUAAAUUAAUUGAAUUUAGCAUAAUAUAUGAGUUGUAAGAUUCUUUUUAUUAUGUGUUAAAAAGUUAUUUUUACUGAGUAAUUUUUCUAGGGUGUUCAUGAUGUCGUUUGGAUGGAUUUUGAAGUAAAAUUUUAUCAGAUCUAAAAAUAAAUUUAUUUACAGUUCUAUUUAGUUUUAGAUAAUUGAUUAAAAUAUCUGAUUUAUUCAAUCCAAUUACAUACAUUUUAAUUUGGAUCGAUUUUUAGAUAUCCAAAUUAAACAUGUUUCCGCAUCUUUAUCUUCCUUCUGCAACCACAUCAACCAUUCAACAACUAAGAGUAUAGAUAAGCAACAACAAAAUUGAAAAGGAUGAGACGAAGAAAGGAAGAACAUCAAGGCUUUUUUUUCUUCUGGUCAGAUCUGACCCGAUGGCCCUGACAUUUUUUCGAUUGGAAACAAAUUCAAGAGGAGCUGAAAAGAUGUAAGUUGUUGCUUCAACUUUUAUUUUUAAUGUUUUGCUCCUGGUUGAUGUUGUUGAUACUUUUUAAUUAUCAUUUUUGGACAAAUUGAAUUAGCGUUGUUUUGCUUUU